UACCAUUUGGAAACAGAUGCUAAUACCGGAUAAAAAGCACUUUCGCAUGAAAGAAGUUUAAAAAAGGACGGCGUAAAGCUGUCGCUAAAGGAUGGACCUGCGAUGCAUUAGCUAGUUGGUAAGGUAACGGCGUUACCAAGGCGAUGAUGCAUAGCCGAGUUGAGAGACUGAUCGGCCACAUUGGGACUGAGACACGGCCCAAACUCCUACGGGAGGGCAGCAGUAGGGAAUCUUCCACAAUGGACGCAAGUCUGAUGGAGCAACGCCGCGUGAGUGAAGAAGGUUUUCGGAUCGUAAAGCUCUGUUGUUGGUGAAGAAGGAUAGAGGUAGUAACUGGCCUUUAUUUGACGGUAAUCAACCAGAAAGUCACGGGCUAACUACGUGCCAGCAGCCGCGGUAAAU
rnacentral:rRNA from 1 species